rnacentral:rRNA from 1 species
UACUAGAUGGUUCGAUAAGUCUUUCUCCCCCAUGCGCAGAUUUGACGAUCGAUUUGCACGUCAGAACCGCUGCGAGCCUCCACCAGAGUUUCCUCUGGCUUCACCCUAUCCACGCAUAGUUCACCAUCUUUCGGGUCCGAACAGUUAUGCUCUUACUCAAAUCCAUCCGAAGACAUCAGGAUCGGUCGAUGAUGCACCCGUAAGGCUCUCACCUCCGUUCACUUUCAUUACGCGUGAGGGUUUAACACCCAAACACUCGCACAAAUGUUCGACUCCUUGGUCCGUGUUUCAAGACGGGUCGUUGACGACCAUUACGCCAGCAUCCUUGCCGAAGCGCGGUCCUCGGUCCCCGUAAAGGUAUUAUGCAGAGGGCUAUAACACUCCCGGAGGAGCUACGUUCCCAGAGCUUUUAUCCCCCUACAGAAACCGAUGCUGGCCUAAACUUAGCGAAGUGCACCGGUGAGAACACCGGAUGAUCCGCUAGGAAAAGGUCUGGUCGCAAACGCUUCCCUUUCAACAAUUUCACGUGCUAUUUAACCCUCUUUUCAAAGUGCUUUUCAUCUUUCGAUCACUCUACUUGUGCGCUAUCGGUCUCUGGCCAAUAUUUAGCUUUAGAAGAAAUUUACCUCCCAUUUAGAGCAGCAUUCCCAAACUACUCGACUCGUCGAAGGAGCUUUACAGAGGCAAGGUGUCCAACCGUACGGGGCUCUCACCCUCUAAGGCGUCCCGUUCCAGGGAACUCGGAAGGCACCGCGCCAAAANCAUCCUCUACAAAUUACAACUCGGACCCGAGGGCCAGAUNNCAAAUUUGAGCUGUUGCGCUUCACUCGCCGUUACUAGGGCAAUCCCUGUUGGUUUCUUUUCCUCCGCUUAUUGAU